rnacentral:piRNA from 1 species
UCCCAGAAAAAUGUUGAGUUU